rnacentral:rRNA from 1 species
UUCCGGUUGAUCCCGCCGGACCUGACUGCUAUCGGAUUGAUACUAAGCCAUGCGAGUCUUUGUAGUAAUACAAGGCAGACGGCUCAGUAACACGUAGUCAACCUACCCUAUGGACAAGAAUAAUCUCGGGAAACUGGGCAUAAUUCUUGAUAGAUCAUAAUGCCUGGAAUGGUUUAUGGUUAAAAUGAUUCGUCGCCAUAGGAUGGGACUGCGGCCUAUCAGCUUGUUGGUGAGGUAAUGGCCCACCAAGGCGAUUACAGGUACGGGCUCUGAGAGGAGAAGCCCGGAGAUGGGUACUGAGACACGGACCCAGGCCCUAUGGGGCGCAGCAGGCGAGAAAACUUUGCAAUGUGCGAAAGUACGACAAGGUUAAUCCGAGUGAUUUCUGCUAAAGAAAUCUUUUGCCAGUCAUAAAACCACUGGUGAAUAAGGGGUGGGCAAGUUCUGGUGUCAGCCGCCGCGGUAAAACCAGCACCUCAAGUGGUCAGGAUGAUUAUUGGGCCUAAAGCAUCCGUAGCCGGCUUUGUAAGUUUUCGGUUAAAUCCAUGUGCUCAACGCAUGGGCUGCCGAAAAUACUGCAUGGCUAGGGAGUGGGAGAGGUAGACGGUACUCAGUAGGAAGGGGUAAAAUCCUUUGAUCUAUUGAUGACCACCUGUGGCGAAGGCGGUCUACCAGAACACGUUCGACGGUGAGGGAUGAAAGCUGGGGGAGCAAACCGGAUUAGAUACCCGGGUAGUCCCAGCUGUAAACGAUGCAGACUCGAUGAUGCAUUGGCAUAAUAGCCAGUGCAGUGUCGCAGGGAAGCCGUUAAGUCUGCCGCCUGGGAAGUACGUACGCAAGUAUGAAACUUAAAGGAAUUGGCGGGGGAGCACCACAAGGGGUGAAGCCUGCGGUUCAAUUGGAAUCAACGCCGGA